AGGGAGCUUGGGGUCUUGCUUACUUCGUCCUUGAAAUUGCAUAAGGUUGAGUGAGGAGCUGGGUAACAUUUCUGUGCCACAGCUGCAGUUCGGCAAGGGAGGUGACAGAAGCCUUCCGGCGGCCCAACUGUAAUCUUGACCGUUAUUUUGAGUGAUUGAAGGAGAAAAACGAGUAAAUUUCACGUGACGUGGUGAGAAGUUGCAAGCGGAGUUAAGGGAGUAGUAUUGCAGGUACUUCGCUGUAGUAGAGGUGGAAGGAGUGAGCAGCGUAACAACAGAGUGUUGUUUUCACUUCUGUUCAUUUUCCUAUUUUACUGUGUAAUUACGUUUUGCUACAGUU